rnacentral:tRNA from 1 species
GCCCCGAUAGUUUAGCUGGCCAAGAAUCCGGCCCUCUCACGGCCGUGACCCGAGUUCGAAUCUCGGUCGGGGCG